UUCAAUUUAAUUGGCCAUGGAGCUUUCUCAUUCUAGUGUCGUCUAAUUCUUAGUUUUGGUGCAAGUGUCUGGUUUGAAGUCCAUCACAUCUAAACACCUGGCAUUGGCAAGUUAAGUAAUUAGGUAUAUAACCAGCCAUAACAAACCUCUCAAACACCUGGCAUUGGCAAGUCAAGUAAUUAGAAGUUUGUACUCAAGUUGGAUUUGCAUGAUGACAAGGAAAAGCAGAAGCCUUCAAAACAGUUUCAACUCUUUCAGGAACAUUGCUUCUGGAUGAACAACUGGAGAUUAACUCAAAUGGAAAGCAAUGAAGUCGAUUGCAACAGUGGAUCAAUCAAUUACUGUUUAAC